GAUGAACGCUGGCGGCGUGCCUAAUACAUGCAAGUCGAGCGAACGGACGCGACGCUUGCUUCUCUGAUGUUAGCGGCGGACGGGUGAGUAACACGUGGAUACCCUACCUAUAAGACUGGGAUAACUUCGGGAAACCGUAGCUAAUACCGUAUAAUAUUUUGAACCGCAUGGUUCAAAAGUGAAAGACGGUCUUGCUGUCACUUAUAGAUGGAUCCGCGCUGCAUUAGCUAGUUGGUAAGGUAACGGCUUACCAAGGCAACGAUGCGUAGCCGACCUGAGAGGGUGGUCGGCCACACGGGAACUGGGACGCGGUCCAGACUCCUACGGGAGGCAGCAGUAGGGAAUCGUCGGCAAUGGGCGAAAGCCUGACGGAGCAGCGCCGCGUGAGUGAUGGAGGUCUUCGGAUCGUAAAACUCUGUUAUUAGGGAAGAACAUAUGUGUAAGUAACUGUGCACAGCUUGACGGUACCUAAUCAGAAAGCCACGGCUAACUACGUG
rnacentral:rRNA from 1 species